ACCGGGGGAACUGAAACAUCUAAGUACCCCGAGGAAAAGAAAUCAACCGAGAUUCCCCCAGUAGCGGCGAGCGAACGGGGAGCAGCCCAGAGUCUGAAUCAGCUUGUGUGUUAGUGGAACGGUCUGGAAAGUCCGACGGUACAGGGUGAUAGUCCCGUACACCAAAAUGCACAGGUUGUGAACUCGAAGAGUAGGGCGGGACACGUGGUAUCCUGUCUGAAUAUGGGGGGACCAUCCUCCAAGGCUAAAUACUCCUGACUGACCGAUAGUGAACCAGUACCGUGAGGGAAAGGCGAAAAGAACCCCGGCGAGGGGAGUGAAAAAGAACCUGAAACCGUGUACGUACAAGCAGUGGGAGCACCUUCGGGUGUGACUGCGUACCUUUUGUAUAAUGGGUCAGCGACUUAUAUUCUGUAGCAAGGUUAACCGUAUAGGGGAGCCGCAGGGAAACCGAGUCUUAACUGGGCGUUAAGUUGCAGGGUAUAGACCCGAAACCCGGUGAUCUAGCCAUGGGCAGGUUGAAGGUUGGGUAACACUAACUGGAGGACCGAACCGACUAAUGUUGAAAAAUUAGCGGAUGACUUGUGGCUGGGGGUGAAAGGCCAAUCAAACCGGGAGAUAGCUGGUUCUCCCCGAAAGCUAUUUAGGUAGCGCCUCGUGAAUUCAUCUUCGGGGGUAGAGCACUGUUUCGGCUAGGGGGUCAUCCCGACUUACCAACCCGAUGCAAACUACGAAUACCGAAGAAUGUUAUCACGGGAGACACACGGCGGGUGCUAACGUCCGUCGUGAAGAGGGAAACAACCCAGACCGCCAGCUAAGGUCCCAAAGUCAUGGUUAAGUGGGAAACGAUGUGGGAAGGCACAGACAGCCAGGAUGUUGGCUUAGAAGCAGCCAUCAUUUAAAGAAAGCGUAAUAGCUCACUGGUCGAGUCGGCCUGCGCGGAAGAUGUAACGGGGCUAAACCAUGCACCGAAGCUGCGGCAGCGACACUAUGUGUUGUUGGGUAGGGGAGCGUUCUGUAAGCCUGCGAAGGUGGCCUGUGAGGGCUGCUGGAGGUAUCAGAAGUGCGAAUGCUGACAUAAGUAACGAUAAAGCGGGUGAAAAGCCCGCUCGCCGGAAGACCAAGGGUUCCUGUCCAACGUUAAUCGGGGCAGGGUGAGUCGACCCCUAAGGCGAGGCCGAAAGGCGUAGUCGAUGGGAAACAGGUUAAUAUUCCUGUACUUGGUGUUACUGCGAAGGGGGGACGGAGAAGGCUAUGUUAGCCGGGCGACGGUUGUCCCGGUUUAAGCAUGUAGGCGGAGGUUCCAGGUAAAUCCGGUACCUUUUAACGCUGAGAUGUGAUGACGAGGCACUACGGUGCUGAAGUAACAAAUGCCCUGCUUCCAGGAAAAGCCUCUAAGCAUCAGGUAACAUCAAAUCGUACCCCAAACCGACACAGGUGGUCAGGUAGAGAAUACCAAGGCGCUUGAGAGAACUCGGGUGAAGGAACUAGGCAAAAUGGUGCCGUAACUUCGGGAGAAGGCACGCUGGUGUGUAGGUGAAGUCCCUGCGGAUGGAGCUGAGACCAGUCGAAGAUACCAGCUGGCUGCAACUGUUUAUUAAAAACACAGCACUGUGCAAACACGAAAGUGGACGUAUACGGUGUGACGCCUGCCCGGUGCCGGAAGGUUAAUUGAUGGGGUUAUCCGUAAGGAGAAGCUCUUGAUCGAAGCCCCGGUAAACGGCGGCCGUAACUAUAACGGUCCUAAGGUAGCGAAAUUCCUUGUCGGGUAAGUUCCGACCUGCACGAAUGGCGUAAUGAUGGCCAGGCUGUCUCCACCCGAGACUCAGUGAAAUUGAACUCGCUGUGAAGAUGCAGUGUACCCGCGGCAAGACGGAAAGACCCCGUGAACCUUUACUAUAGCUUGACACUGAACAUUGAGCCUUGAUGUGUAGGAUAGGUGGGAGGCUUUGAAGCGUGGACGCCAGUCUGCGUGGAGCCAACCUUGAAAUACCACCCUUUAAUGUUUGAUGUUCUAACGUAGGCCCCUAAUCGGGGUUGCGGACAGUGUCUGGUGGGUAGUUUGACUGGGGCGGUCUCCUCCCAAAGAGUAACGGAGGAGCACGAAGGUUAGCUAAUCCUGGUCGGACAUCAGGAGGUUAGUGCAAUGGCAUAAGCUAGCUUGACUGCGAGCGUGACGGCGCGAGCAGGUGCGAAAGCAGGUCAUAGUGAUCCGGUGGUUCUGAAUGGAAGGGCCAUCGCUCAACGGAUAAAAGGUACC
rnacentral:rRNA from 1 species